CAAGAUCCCGUCCUAUCUUCGUUGGUUCUCCGUUUCACCUGAUCUCGAUUGUACAACUUGUAGAGAUUUCGAUUGUUUUUAUUCCAUUUCUGUUCUUGAUGAAAUCCCAUGCGAGAAAAUGAUUAUUUCGGGGACUCAUGCAUUCUUGGUCGCUGGUGAUGUGGGUUUCCGUUAGAUUGAUGUAAAAAGAAUCUGAUGGGAGGGUCUGCCCCAGAGCUCUGUAUUGAUGACUUUGAAAUAAGUCGGUUAAUACUGAAUUCUCCGAAAGACGGGAGAAUUCUCCGAAACAUCACAUCUUGGGAGAAUCGCUCUGGCAUUGUAUAGAAGGGAGGAUUCCUUAAUCACUACUGAUGACGGUUUUUGGUAGCAGUGGUUUAAGGAUUUUAUGUGGCCACUGUCUUCUAUUUUUAGAUACUAAAAAUUUCCUGCUAAGGUACGCGAUUGGAAUCUUUGUGAUCACUACAGAAGUUGUAGAGAUUUCAGCAGUUCAUCUGUAUAUAAAACCAUGGUGUCUGCUCUUCUUCCUGCAAAGGUUUACAAGAUGGGCACAAUUCUUUCAUUCUGGAUCUAUGCCUGUACCAGUUUACUGGAGUUCCAUCUAUGGUAUCCCUCGGACCAGGUUUGGCUUUGAAAGUGGCUGGGUGCCAUCUCCAUGAAUGUCAAACUGGAUAACUUCCUUCGGACAUUGACAGUAUCGAAUGCGAUUUUAGCCGACCUUAGGAUUUUAUCAUGUGCUCUGUCCUGAUAUCACCUUUAUUCUGGUGCUGUGACUGACUUGUCUGAAGCACCUGAAAAUGUCAUCAUCACUGCAUACAUGCAUUCGCAUGGAUUAUCAUAUGAGAAAUUUGACCCCCUUUGUCAUGGUUGGAUUUUGUC